UACGAAGGGGGCUAGCGUUGCUCGGAAUUACUGGGCGUAAAGCGCACGUAGGCGGCUCUUUAAGUCGGAGGUGAAAUCCUGGAGCUCAACUCCAGAACUGCCUUCGAUACUGUAGAGCUUGAGUUCGGGAGAGGUGAGUGGAACUGCGAGUGUAGAGGUGAAAUGCGCAGAUAUCAGGAGGAACACCUAUUGCGAAGGCAGCUCGCUGGGACGUAACUGACGCUGAGACGCGAAAGCGUGGGGAGCAAACAGG
rnacentral:rRNA from 1 species